rnacentral:rRNA from 1 species
GACGAACCGUGCGAACGUUAUUCGGAAUCACUGGGCUUAAAGGGCGCGUAGGCGGCAUGGCAAGUCGGGAGUGAAAGGCCUGGGCUCAACCGAGGAACUGCUUUCGAGACUGCCAAGCUAGAGUGCGGAAGGGGCAUCUGGAAUUCCCAGUGUAGCGGUGAAAUGCGUAGAUAUUGGGAAGAACACCUGAGGCGAAGGCGGGAUGCUGGGCCGACACUGACGCUGAGGCGCGAAAGCCAGGGGAGCAAACGGG